ACUAAACAGCUAGCCCACCCACUUAAACAAAAAGCAUCAUUAUUAAUAAACCCUAAAACACAACCCCAAAUACACAACCAAAUCAUUUUACCCCCUAAGUACGGGCGACGGAAAAGGAGCUCGGAGCCAUAGACAAAGUACCGCAAGGGAACGCUGAAAGAGAUAUGAAAUAGCCCAGUAAAGUAACAAAAAGCAGAGACUAGUACUCGUACCUUUUGCAUCAUGAUUUAGCCAGUACCCCCAGGCAAAGAGAACUUUAGUCUGACACCCCGAAACUAACCGAGCUACUCCAAGACAGCCUAUGUAGGGCCAACCCGUCUCUGUGGCAAAAGAGUGGGAAGAGCUUUGAGUAGAGGUGACAAAUCUACCGAACUUAGUAAUAGCUGGUUGCCUGGGAAAUGAAUAGAAGUUCAGCCUUCCAACUUCUCCUCUCACACAGUUUUCACCCUCCUCAGACACAAAGAAAUUAGAAGAGUUAAUCGAAGGGGGUACAGCCCCUUCGAGCAAGAAACAACUUCCACAGUCGGGUAAAGAUCAAAAUAAUUCAAGGAAAGAUGUCUAAGUGGGCUUAAAAGCAGCCACCUAGAUAGAAAGCGUUAAAGCUCAGACAUACCACCACUCCCCCAAUCCCGAUAAUACCAUCUCAACCCACUUCCCCUUACCAGGCUGUUUUAUGCAAACAUAAAAGCACCCAUGCUAAUAUGAGUAAUAAGAAAGGAACCAGCCUUUCUCCCAGCACGCACAUACAUCGAAACGGACUUUCCAUCGAACAUUACCGGCCCCAAACAAAGAGGGAAACGAGCAACUAACAAACAACCAGAAAAUCACUCAAAAAUAACCGUUAAGCCUACACUGGCGUGCCUACUAGGAAAGACUAAAAGAAAAAGAAGGAACUCGGCAAACACAUUAGCCUCGCCUGUUUACCAAAAACAUCGCCUCUUGUAAAUUAAAAAUAAGAGGUCCCGCCUGCCCAGUGACACUAUUGUUCAACGGCCGCGGUAUUCUGACCGUGCAAAGGUAGCGCAAUCACUUGUCUUUUAAAUGAAGACCUGUAUGAAUGGCAUAACGAGGGCCUAACUGUCUCCUUUUUCCAGUCAAUGAAAUUGAUCUUCCCGUGCAGAAGCGGGGAUACAACCAUAAGACGAGAAGACCCUGUGGAGCUUUAGACACCAGGCCAGACCUUGUUAAACACUCCUCAGAUAAAGGAUACAACCAAAGGACUCUGCCCUAAUGUCUUCGGUUGGGGCGACCCCGGAGAACACAAAACCUCCAUGUGGAAUAGGAGAACUUCUCCCACAACCAAGAGUAGCCACUCUAAGCAAUAGAAUUUCUAACCAGAAGAUCCGGCAAAGCCGAUUAACGAACUAAGUUACCCCAGGGAUAACAGCGCAAUCCUCUUUCAGAGUCCCUAUCGACAAGAGGGUUUACGACCUCGAUGUUGGAUCAGGACAUCCUAAUGGUGCAACCGCUAUUAAGGGUUCGUUUGUUCAACGAUUAAAGUCCUACGUGAUCUGAGUUCAGACCGGAGUAAUCCAGGUCAGUUUCUAUCUAUGAAACAUUUUUUUCUAGUACGAAAGGACCGAAAAAAAGAGGCCCAUGUCAUAAACACGCCUCUACCCUUACCUAAUGAAAACAACUAAAUUAGACAAAAGGAUGUAUUCCUUUAGCCUAAGAUAAUGGCUU
rnacentral:rRNA from 1 species